rnacentral:rRNA from 1 species
CCUACGGGUGGCAGCAGUAGGGAAUAUUGCUCAAUGGGGGAAACCCUGAAGCAGCAACGCCGCGUGGAGGAUGAAGGUUUUCGGAUUGUAAACUCCUUUUUUUAGAGAAGUUAAUGACGGUAUCUAACGAAUAAGCACCGGCUAACUCCGUGCCAGCAGCCGCGGUAAUACGGAGGGUGCAAGCGUUACCCGGAAUCACUGGGCGUAAAGAGCGCGUAGGCGGGAUAGCAAGUCAGAUGUGAAAUCCUAUGGCUUAACCAUAGAACUGCAAUUGAAACUGUUAUUCUAGAGUAUGGGAGAGGUAGGUGGAAUUCUUGGUGUAGCGGUGAAAUGCGUAGAGAUCAAGAGGAAUACUCAUUGCGAAGGCGACCUGCUAGAACAUAACUGACGCUGAUGCGCGAAAGCGUGGGGAGCAAACAGGAUUAGAUACCCGUGUAGUC